AAAGCGUCGGCCAGGCCAGGCGGCCAGGCCAGGCGGAGGAGCGCCGGAGCCGGCGGUAUCCAAGCGAGUGGGAAAACUGGAGCAGCGGAGCCGCGGCAGGGAAAUGCACCUAGCUUUCAGUCUGGCUCCGCUUGAUGGAAAACUCAGAGCUCGAGGAGGCGACCCUGACUCGACCCGGCAGAAAAGAGGAGGUUUCCAUGUCGCUCAGGCUGGCCCCCAUACUAUAUAGCUUUAAAAUGCUGACCCUCCAGUUUCCACCUCCUAAGUGCUAGGAUUACAGCCUGUAGGGUCCAUUAAUGCAUUCCACAUACUCCUGAGUGUGGAGCCAUCUGGUGGGGCAUGGCCAUCUUACAAGGGAGAACACUCUUAAAGAAAGCUGACUCUUCUCCACUAGCGACUGUCAACUAUGAAUACAUCCUCAGCUAGCGGUGAGGGCUGUGAGCCUCUCCUGGGUCCAUGCUGGAAUGCUGGCUCUCCUGGGUCCAUGCUGGAAUGCUGGCUCUCCUGGGUCCAUGCUGGAAUGCUGGCUCUCCUGGGUCCAUGCUGGAAUGCUGGCUCUCCUGGGUCCAUGCUGGAAUGCUGGCUCUCCUGGGUCCAUGCUGGAAUGCUGGCUGGCUGGUCUUGUGCUGGGCAGAGCUGCUGUGAGUUUGAGUUCCAGAGGAUAGAGGAUACCAGUCUAUCACGGAGCUGAAACAGCAGACACAGCAGCAGGAACUGGACGCUGAGAACGGAUAUCCUUUACCAUAAGCACAGAGCAGAAAGAGCCAGCUGCAAGCGGCAGCGGAGAAAUAACCUAUCAGAUGGUGCUGAAACCCGGGAGAAGUUAAGUCCCCAGCGCGAUGGUUUUGGUCUUUCCUGGCCACGUGGGAACCACUUCUGUCCCUCUCUCUUCUCUGCUGGAUACAUCAUUUCUUCGGACUCACGAGUACCCAUCCCUAGAUAUCCUGACUAUCCAGGUCCAGGACCCUCUGAGCUCUUUGCUGAGUUGCGGCCCCGACAGAGUUAGCCCCAUCCGAACAAAGACCAGGCCUUUGUUUUGGGGGAACCCCUGAUAUAGAGACUUCUUAUCUGAGGUUACCGCCCCCACAUAAACCGUUGGGUCGAUCUCAGACUAUACAUUGGGAUGACAAUUCAACAGUAUUGAGAUCUCUGGCAAACGUUGGGAAGAUGGGUGUCACAGGAUCUAAAACAAAAAUGUAUUCCUACGUCCAGUUUUUGGGAAGCUGCGCUCUCCUAAUCUCCCUUCACUGCAUUGAGCACAGGGCUCCAGGAGCCGCCUAGCCACUCCCACCUCUCAUCCCCAUCUCCUUCCCGUCCUCCUGUGGCUCCGUUGUCAGUGGCGGCAGCAGCAGCACCAGCGGUUGUGAUGACUAAGGGUGGCGAGGCACCCAUGUUCCCAGAAGUAAUUCCAAAUAAACUCCUUUGUUCACCAAGG
rnacentral:lncRNA from 1 species